GAUGAAAGCACCCUGCAAAACUCAGCUCUCCAUUUGGCUCACUGACCCCUGAACUCAAUGUAACUGUGCCUCCAGUGAGUCAAAGCGGCAGGAACCUCGGACGCCUCGGCAAGAUGCGGCGGGACCUCACCAAGUUGCGGUGGGACCUCGGAUGGUCAAUCCGUGCUGGGAAGGCCUAAAGGUCAGCGGUGGAAGCUAGAAAAUCCAUGGCAGCAGGGUGAAGGAGCUGUGCUGGUGGGAUGAGGAUUCUACACUGGAGCCAAGAAGUCACACUCACAACAAAGACCAGGGCUGUCCUGAAAGUACCACAGCCAUCCUCAGCAACACGGAGGCCCCGAGCUCCAACGACGACAAGCACAGUCGGGUACAUGCCAGGAAGCCAGUGUGAUGAGUUCAUCCUGGAGACCAAGCAGCACACAUCUUCCUCUCUGGAACCAGGAAGCAAUGCUCGAUGUGAGGACCAGAGCUUCUCCAGGAGAACCAAUGGUUCAAACAGCAACUCGUAGGAGAACUCACAAUGCCUCAAUGCAAUAGCUUCUCCUUCUCCAUGUUUCUAUUUACGCUGGCAACUCCCCUCAGGUGGGACAUCUACGCUCAAUGCCCUGCUGAUGUAAUCCAGCUGAUGUUAAAUUGCCCACCAGUUUUUAAUCCAUAACAGUCCUUGUCUCAAAAUAAAAUAUAAAAAGG